rnacentral:misc_RNA from 1 species
GCUACUACCGAUUGAAUGGUUUAGUAGGACUCCUGAUUGGCGCCGCCGCCCCGGCAACGGAGCAGCGGACUGCCGAAAAGUUGUUCAAACUUGAUCAUUUAGAGGAAGUAAAAGUCGUAACAAGGUUUCCGUAGGUGAACCUGCAGAAGGAUCAAGAUCGGAAGGGCGGCGGUAGGGAAAGGGGGUAAGACUCGGGGGUCGCCGGAACAUUAAAAAAAAAAAAAGAAUAGAAUAAAGAGUCAACACGAGUGAGAUCAACUACUAGAAGCCAACAAC